GACGAACGCUGGCGGUAUGCUUAACACAUGCAAGUCGAACGAGAAGUUUUUUAUUGAACCUUCGGGGGAUAUAAGAGACAGACAGUGGCGAACGGGUGAGUAACGCGUGGGCAACCUACCUAUCGGAGCGGGAUAGCCUCGAGAAAUCGGGAGUAAAACCGCAUAACACGGAUAUAUCGCAUGAUGAAUCCGUCAAAACUCCGGUGCCGAUAGAUGGGCCCGCGUCUGAUUAGCUAGUUGGUAAGGUAAGGGCUUACCAAGGCAACGAUCAGUAGCCGGUGUGAGAGGGCGAACGGCCACACUGGAACUGAGACACGGUCCAGACUCCUACGGGAGGCAGCAGUGGGGAAUAUUGCGCAAUGGGGGCAACCCUGACGCAGCAAUACCGCGUGAGUGAAGAAGGUUUUCGGAUCGUAAAGCUCUGUUAUUCGGGAAGAAGCAGGACGGUA
rnacentral:rRNA from 1 species